rnacentral:tRNA from 1 species
GGAGGCGUGUCCGAGUGGUUUAAGGAAACAGUUUCGAAAACUGUCGGCUCGAAAGGGCCACGUAGGUUCGAAUCCUACCGCCUCCG